rnacentral:tRNA from 1 species
GCCUGGGUGGCUCAAUCGGUUGAGCGUCUGACUUCAGCUUAGGUCACGAACUUGCGGUUUGUGAGUUUGAGCCCCACAUCAGGCU